rnacentral:lncRNA from 11 species
CGGCGCUGAAACUAAAUUAAGAAGCACAUGAUUAAGAGACAAGCGUCUACGGGGCCUGUCAUUUCAGCAUCCUUCCAUCAUAACAUUGUGGCACGGGGGAAAUUUGCUUGAAAACCCUUGGAAGGAAGGGGGAAAAAAUCGAGGGAGAAGAGAGCUUAGGCACAAAGAGCGAGAAGGCGAGAGAUAGAUAGAUAGAUAGAUAGAUAGAUAGAUAGAUAGAUAGAUAGAUAGAGAGAGAGAGAAAGAGAGAGAGAGAGAGCCUGCUUGCUCCGGGAGAGGAAAGAGAAGAGAGGCUGGCAAGAGCCCAGAGGUCUCCAAGAACUUGGAAAAGCGUGCACGGAUCUCUAUCUUGGAGAGCGAGCAGGAAUGAAUGAUAAUAUUUUACCCAUAAAACGGAAACUAAAGUUUGGAGAGCUGGAGUGAUAUAAUAUUGGAUUAGAACUUUGGAACCCAAAGCUUGAAUCCCCACUUGACCAUGGACACCCUUUGGAAGACCUUGAACAAGUCUUAGUCUCUCAGCCUCAGAUGAUGGCAAAAUUUCCUCCCUGAUCAAAUCUUGUUAAGAAAAUUUCAUAAUAGGGUCACCAAGCUGGAGAUGACUAAAAAGCACAUAAUAACAAGUAAAUGCAAGGGUGGGUGCCUGCCUGAUCUCUCUAGGGAGAGAGUUCCAGAUCCGGGGGCCACUACUGAGAAGGCCUGCUCCCUCGUCCCUGCCAACCAAGCUUGUGAUGGAGGCGGGAG